UUGAAGGGUUUGAUCCUGGCUCAGAAUGAACGUUGGCGGCGUGGAUUAGGCAUGCAAGUCGAGCGCUCAUCAGCAAUGGUGGGAGCGGCGAACGGCGUAGGAAUUCAUAGGAACGUACCCUCGGGUCGGGGAUAGCUACGGGAAACUGUAGGUAAUACCCGAUGAUCUCUGCGGAGCAAAGGUGUGAUUCCGCCCGGGGAGCGGAUUAUGUGAUAUUAGCUAGUUGGUGAGGUAAUGGCUCACCAAGGCAAAGAUGUCUAGGGGGU
rnacentral:rRNA from 1 species